rnacentral:sRNA from 1 species
AUGGCUGUCGUCAGCUCGUGUUGUGAAAUGUUCGGUUAAGUCCGGCAACGAGCGCAACCCCUGUCCUUAGUUACCAUCAUUAAGUUGGGGACUCUAGGGAGACUGCCGGUGUUAAACCGGAGGAAGGCGGGGAUGACGUCAAGUCCUCAUGGCUCUUACGGGAAGGGCUACACACGUACUACAAUGGUAGAAACAAAGGGCUGCGAAACCGCGAGGUCAAGCUAAUCCCUAAAACACUAUCUCAGUCCGGAUUGGAGUCUGCAACUCGACUCCAUGAAGUUGGAAUCGCUAGUAAUCGGAGAUCAGCACGCUCCGGUGAAUACGUUCCCGGGCCUUGUACACACCGCCCGUCACACCACGAAAGUGGUCUCAACCAGAAGUAGGUGAGCUGACCUCGGAGGCAGCCUACCACGGUUGGGGCCGUGAUUGGGGUGAAGUCGUAACAAGGUAGCCGUAGGGGAACCUGCGGCUGGAUCACCUCCUUUCUAAGGAUAAUUCAGCUAAAACUGGUAACAGUGAAGCUUAUCCAGGUUAACCUCGGAAGUUUAACUUUAUGUUUAUAUUAUUCAGCUUUGAGAGUGCUUAGGCAUUUUCAAGCUCUUUGACAAUUGAAUAGAUAUAGAAAUCAAAUUUUUAGAUUAGCACACAGUUAGAUCACAGAAAUUUAAAUUAAAUUCUUGUUUUCAAAAACAAAAUUGCAAAAUCAAAUCAGUAUUUCUCAAACCUAAUAAAUCACUUACUUGAUUUUUUCAAGUAAGGAGAUUGGCGUAAAAAUAAGUUACUAAGGGCACACGGCGGAUGCCUUGGCACUAAGAGGCGAUGAAGGACGUGGUAAGCGACGAUACGCUUCGGGGAGCUGCUUAACGAGCUUUGAUCCGGAGAUUUCCGAAUGGGGAAACCCGG